rnacentral:rRNA from 1 species
CCUACGGGGGGCAGCAGCAAGGAGUUUUCCGCAAUGGGCGAAAGCCUGACGGAGCAACGCCGCGUGGGGGAUGACACCUUUCGGGGCGUAAACCCCUUUUCUUGGGGACGAAGCAGUGACGGUACCCGAGGAAGAAGGCCCGGCUAACUACGUGCCAGCAGCCGCGGUAAUACGUAGGGGCCGAGCGUUGUCCGGAGUUACUGGGCGUAAAGCGCGCGCAGGCGGCUCGUCAAGCCUGACGUGAAAGCCCCCGGCUCAACCGGGGAGGGUCGUCGGGGACUGGCGGGCUUGAGGUCGGCAGGGGUUGGUGGAAUUCCCGGUGUAGUGGUGAAAUGCGUAGAGAUCGGGAGGAACACCCGUGGCGAAGGCGGCCAACUGGGCCGGACCUGACGCUGAGGCGCGAAGGCGUGGGGAGCGAACGGGAUUAGAUACCCCAGUAGUC